ACUGCGCGUGCGCAGUAUGUUGCUGCUGGUUUCAGGGCGGUGAUCUCGGAAGCCGAAAGGGACCGAAGCGAAGGGGAGGCGGAAGAGAAGCAGCAGUUUCCUGCAGAAAGAGAGGCCGAGGCUCUGUUUAUGACUACCUGACUCACAGAGGAUGCACUCUUGUGGUCACACAACUGCCCAGGCACAAGUUCAUUAAGGAGGCAUGCCAUUGGUGCUACUGUGGCUUCUAGGGCCCACAGGCAUCAGGACUUUUGAAAGCUUCCCAGAGGAUUCUAAUGUCAGGAGUGUGAGAGAAGGGCUGUUACCCGGGAUCAGUUUGCCCUCUCUUCCUGGAAAACUAGUUCUAUGAAAACUAGGAGAGAAUUGGAACAUGUGACAGAUAAUUCACCAAUCUUGAUACUGAGCAUCAAAUCUUUGAGCUCUGUUCUUUCUUCCUCCCUGUGCUUUCCUGCAUUCUUAAUGAGGAUUUCUUUGGUAAAAUGAGAGGAACAUUAAGGCUACCUUCCUCACUGUCUCUAAGGUAAUGUGUUAAAACUUCCAUGUUUGUAUGCUCAGUGCACACUCCCAUCCUAUAGUUAGAGAUUGUCACUUUGACCUCAUGGAAUCAUGUGAUGAAGAAUCAGGAAUUGUCCUUAUAUAUUUUGGACUAAUUUUUACGCAAUAUACUACAGUCAAUAUAUCUAGAUUUGCAGAGGCUGAGUCAUUUGUAAAAUGACUUUAUAAUAUUGGCUACUUACUGAAAUUGGAAUAUAAUUGACUUACAAAUUUGUGUUAAUUCUAGGUGUACAGCAAAGUAAUCAGUUACACAUAUGUAUAAUAGCCAUUCCUUUCAGAUUCUUUUUCCAUUAGGUUAUUACACAGUAUUGAGUGACAUUCCCUGUGCUAUACAGUGGAGUCCUUGUCACUCACCUAUUUUAAACAGAGUAGUGUGUAUGUAUCAAUCCCAACCCCCUAAUUUAUCCCUUCCCUCCUCAUGUUUCUCCUUUGGUAAACAUAAGUUUGGUUUUGAAGUCUUUGAGUCUGUUUCUGUUUUGUAAGUUCUAUUGUAUCAUUUCUGUGAGAUUCCAUAUAUUAGUGAUCUUAUAUGAUAUUAGUCUUUCUCUGUCUGACUUCACUUAGUAUGAUAAUUUCUAGGUCCAUCCAUGUUGCUGCAAAUGGCACUGUUUCAUGCUUCAUUCUUUUUUUUUUUUUUUUUGGUUGAGUAAUAUUUCAUUGUAUAUAUGUAUCACAUCUUCUUUAUCCAAUCUUCUGUUGUUAGACAUUUAGGUAUCUUCAUGUCUUGGCUGUUGUAAAUAGUGCACCAAUGAAUACUGGGUGUUUGUAUCUUUUCGAAUUCUGAUUUUCUCUGAAUAUGUGCCCAGGAUUGAGAUUGCUAGGGCAUAUGGUAGUUCUAUGUUUUGUUUUUAAGGAACAUCCUCACUGUUCUCCAUAGUGGUUGCACCAGCUUACAUUCCUACCAACAGUGUAGAAAGAUUCCCUUCCUUCACACUCUCUCCAGCAUUUAUUGUUUGUAGAGUUUUUUGAUGAUAGCCAUCCUGACUGGUAUUAGGUGACACUUCACUGUAGUUUUGAUUUGCAUUUCUCUAGUAAUUAAUGACAUUGAACAUCUUUUCAUGUGUUUUUUGGCCAUCUGUCUUCUUUGGAGAAAUGUCUAUUUAGAUCUUCCAACAAUUUUUUAAUUGGGUUGCUUGUUUUUUUUAUAUAAAUCUGUAUGAGAUGUUCAUAUAUUUUGGAGAUUAAUCCCUUGUCAGUCACUUUGUUUGCAAAGUUUUUUUUUUCCCAUUCUGUGGAUUGUCUUUUCAUUUUGUUAAUGGUUUCCUUUAGUGUGCAAAAGCCUAUAAGUUUAAUUAGGUCCUAUUUGUCUAUUUUUUUUUAAUUUUCAUUACUCUAGGAGGUGGAUCCAAAAAGAUAUUGCUGCAAUUUAUGUCAAAGUGUGUUCUGCCUUUGUUUUUCUCUAGCACUUUUAUACAAUCUGGUCUAAUAUUUAGGUCUUUAAUCCAUUUUAAGUUUAUUUUUGUGUAUGAUGUUAGAGAGUGUUCUAACUUCAUUCUUGUACAUGUAGCCAUCUGGUUUUCCCAGCACCAAUUAUUGAAGAGACUGUCUUUUCUUCUUUGUAUAUUUUUACCACCUUUGUCACAGAUUAAUUGACCAUAUGUACAUGGGUUUAUUUCUGGGCUUUCUAUCCUGUUCCACUAAUCUAUAUGUCUGUUUUUGUGACAGUACCAUACUGGUUUUUUUUAUUAUUAUUAUUGUUUGUUUGUUUGUUUGUUUGUUUGUCUUUUUGCCUUUUCUUGGGCCGCUUCUGUGGCAUAUGGAGGUUCCCAGGCUAGGGGUCGAAUUGCAGCUAUAGCCACCAGCCUAUGCCAGACCCACAUCAACGAGGGAUCCAAGCCGCGUCUGUGACCUACACCACAGCUCACGGCAACGCUGGAUCGUUAACCCACUGAGCAAGGGCAGGGAUCGAACCUGCAACCUCAUGGUUUCCAGUCAGAUUCGUUAACCACUGCACCACCACGGGAACUCCAGUACCAUACUGUUUUGAUAGCUGAAGCUUUAUAGUAUAGUCUGAAGUCAGAGAGCCUGAUUUCUCCAGCUCUGCUUUUCUUUCUCAAGAUUUCUUUGGCUAUUCGGGGUCUUUUUUGUUUCUAUACUAAUUUAAUUAUUUUUGUUCUGGUUCUGUGAAAAAUGCCAAUUGUAAUUUAAUAGAGAUUGCACUGAAUCUGUAGGUCACCUUGAGUAGUAUAGUCAUCUUGGUGAUAUUGAUUCUUCCAAUCCAAGACUAUGGAUUUCGCUUUGUGUCAUAUUCAAAUUCUUUCAAUAGCAUGUUACUGUUUUUAGAGUACCUGUCUUUUGCCUCCUUUGAGAGUUUUAUUCCUAAGUAUUUUAUUCUUUAUGAUACUAAGGUAAAUGUGAUUGUUUCCUAAAUUUAUCUUUCUGAUCUUUUCUUGUUAGUGUAUAGAAAUACGAGAGAUUUCUGUGUAUUGAUUUUGUAUCCUGAAACUUUACUGAUUCAUUGAUGAGCUCUAGUAAUUUUCUGGUAGCUUCUUUAGGGUGCAGGAAUUUUUCUUCUUUCCAAGCUCCCUCCUAGGCACACAGGUCCAGUCCUGAUUUCUUACCUAUCUUUCCUUCCUGAUUUUUUUUUUGUCCUACCUGAUUUCAUGAAGAUCUUCUUGCUCUAUCAGAAUCCUGAGGUUUUUUGCCAGUAUUCAGCAAAUUUUCUAUGAAUCAUUCCACAUGUAGAUUUAUUUUUGAUAUAUUUGUGGGAGGGGGUGAACUUCACAUCCUGCUACUCCACCAUCUUCUCCCUACCCCUACACAGUAUAGAAAUUAUUUGAUGGUUAUGAGGAUUAAGUUAAAUAAUACAUACAAAACACAUGGUGCUGAUUAAUAUGUUAGUUCCUAUUAUCAUUCCAGAUCAGUGUAUGAGCAAUAAGUUGAGCUCAUUGCUUCAUAGCCAUAUUUUAUUUGGAUCUUACAAUGCCAUUCCCCAAACUUAUCAGGUAGUUUAGUUAUGAGACUUUGUAUCUAAAUGACUUUUGACUCUGUAUUUACUCUUAAUGGUAACUAUUUCCUUACAUUAUAAAAUAUUGUGAAAUUUAAUGGAAAACUCAACAGAGGCAUUUUGAGGAAUGAUUCAAACACAAUCUUCAAGUCCAAGCACCUUUAAGAAAGAAAUAAUUGUGAUAUUCAGGAGAAAGGAAGUGAUGUCUCCUUCAAUGAUGAAAUCCUACUAACAUUUACUGAGCACCUUGUGUUUUGACCAGGUCCCCAACCUCCUUCAGCAGUAUGCAAAAACCUGCAAGGUGGAGUCCAUGUCUUUUUCAGCAUUUCAUGCCUAGCAUUCGGAGUGCAAGAAGAAAACAUAAGGACUUGAUUUAAAAGUAUUUUUCUGUUUAGACAAAGAAAGCACCAGCAGUUACUUAGAGAAUUUUAUGGGGUGCUAAAAGAAACUGGAACAAAGGAGCAAUGUCUCUGACUUACAGUCAGACGAGCCUACAUUUUAGGGAUACAUUCAGCAGUGGUGAUGAACUUCAAAGUGUAUUGUAGUGGUGCUCCUAUUUGGGGUGAGUUGGCCAUGUGAGAAGUUUGGGAGACAAGUGACAGACUGGCUUAAAGGAGGAAUGAAUUCACAGAGUUGGCAUCAUUUGAACCACGAAUCAAGCUCUAUCAAUUCAGAAAGAUUUAUUGGGCACCUACUAAUUGUAUAGCACCGUGCAUUGCCCUAUGAGGGAUAGAAAGAAGUACAACACAUGGCUAUCAACUUCAGCAAUAAAACAGCUCUUUGCCUUUAUUAUCUUCUCUUUCGGGGAACUACGCUUUCUCCCCACUAAUAGCCUUUUUAUCAAAUGCAGUGAAGGUAUUCCCAACCCACUCUCCUGAAGCUGAAAUGACUUUUCUCUGAAUGUCCCUAUCUUCUCACUCAGUUGUCUUUAACUGCCCAGCUUCACAGCCACAAAAUGCUCCUGAGACUUUAGAGUACAGCUCAGUGACUUCCAUAGGGACCAGCUAAACUAAUAGGAAAGAUGAAAAGUGGGGAUGGGAGAAAACAUACCACACAAGAUAAACAUUAACCUGCACAUGUUCUAUAAUCCACCUCUCUUUGAUUUUAAAUAAUCCAUCUGUGCCUUGCAAUAUAAUAUAAUGGUUAUAAACAUAAAAUUAAUAAUAUAAAGUUAAUGAACAUGAACAUCCAAGAGGAUGCUAAGCACGUGGAGAAAUCUGAGUUAGAUUGAGUUGUGCCCCCAUUAAGGAACAUAAACAGCACUUGGGUUGCUUUACAUGUAGUAGCUGUAAUUGAAAUACUGCUUCCAAUCCAUAGUACUUUUCAGUCUCCCACAGAAAGUAAACAUGCCACAAGGAAAAAUAAGAUCAUAUCAUAGCAAAGGAAAUCAGAGUGGUUAUUAGUGUAUUAAUUGAAUACCAGAUGGAAAAGCAAAACAAACAAUAGCCUGCCAGGCUCCACAAGAAACAUCUUCUCAAUAUUUUAGAAGAAAAAUUAAAACAACAUGUGGCGGUGAAGUAUAUGGAUAGUAUAUUUUCAGCUAGCCUAAGUUUCAUAGUGACCAAAAUAACCCAUGUAUUAUAUCACUAGGGGAUGUGCAGUCAGAAAUUUUAGAGGAGUCCACCAACAUUUAUUUGGGAGUGACCUUUACAUAUAACAAAAUAGAUAUUAAGCUUUUCAGGUAAGUGAUGGUAGUUUAAUUAUCUGGAAAGAGUGUGUGUGUGAGUGUGUGUGUGUGUGUGUGUGUAUUUGUAUGUAUGCAUGCACUUCUGUCAAAUCCUUUGUCUUUCUAGCCAUGUGCAAAAGCCAUACACUGUCCUCAGUGGCCCGAGUCAAGAUAAAGGCAGUUCCAGUGGCCCAGAAACCUGUGGAUAGAUCUGCCCUAGGCUGGCAAGGUGGAGACUUCAGGGUACUUCCUGUGAACUGUCUAUACUGACCCCACUCACAGUUGAAGCCUGUGAAAUACAAAGUGUGGAACAACUCACAUUUUAACAGUGAUCAUAAACAUUGCUUGAUAUAAGAAAAUGUUUAGCCUGUGUUCUCUUCUAGGAGUUUUAUGGUGUCUUGUCUUGUGUUUAAGUAUUUAAGCCAUUUUGAAUUUAUUUUUGUGCAUGAUGUGAGGGUGUGUUCUAGCUUCAUUGAUUUACAUGCAGCUGUCCAGUUUUCCCAGCACCACUUUCUGAAGAGACUGUCUUUUCCCCAUUUUAAAUUCUUGCCUCCUUUGUAGAUUAAUUGACCAUAGAUGUCUGGGUUUAUUUCUGGGUUCUCUAUUCUGUUCCAUUGGUCUAUACGUUUUUUUUUUUUUUUUUUUUUUUUUUUUUUGUACCAGUAGCACACUCUCUUGAUUACUAUAGCUUUGACCAUACAAAUGUUUUCUUAGGUCAGUCUCCUGAGGCAAUAGAAAUAAAAACAAAAAUAAACCAAUGGGACCUAAUCAAACUUACAAACUUUUGCACAGCAAAGGAAACCAUUAAAAAAAGACAACCUAUGGAAUGGGAGAAAAUAGUUUCAAAUGAUGCAAUCAACAAGGGCUUAAUCUUUAAAAUGUACAAACAAUUUAUACAACUCAACAGCAAAACAAAAAAAAAAAAAACAAAAAAAAAAA
rnacentral:lncRNA from 1 species